AUUGAACGCUGGCGGCAGGCCUAACACAUGCAAGUCGAACGAGUGGCGGACGGGUGAGUUAUGUCUGGGAAACUGCCUGAUGGAGGGGGAUAACUACUGGAAACGGUAGCUAAUACCGCAUACCCUCGGAUGUGCCCAGAUGGGAUUAGCUAGUAGGUGGGGUAAAGUCUCACCUAGGCGACGAUCCCUAGCUGGUCUGAGAGGAUGACCAGCCACACGGGAACUGAGACACGGUCCAUACUCCUAGGGUAGGCAGCAGUGGGGAAUAUUGCACAAGGGGCGCAAGCCUGAUGCAGCCAUGCCGCGUGUAGGAAGAAGGCCUUCGGGUUGUAAAGUACUUUCAGCGGGGAGGCGUUACCCGCAGAAGAAGCAUCGGCUAACUCCGUGCCAGCAGCCGCGGUAAUUC
rnacentral:rRNA from 1 species